CUCUAGCAUAGAUAGUAUUAGAGGCACUGCCUGCCCAGUGACAUACGUUAAACGGCCGCGGUAUCCUAACCGUGCAAAGGUAGCAUAAUCACUUGUUCCUUAAAUAGGGACUUGCAUGAAUGGCCAAACGAGGGUUUAUCUGUCUCUUACUUUUAAUCAGUGAAAUUGACCUUCCCGUGAAGAGGCGGGAAUAAACAAAUAAGACGAGAAGACCCUACGGAGCUUAAGUUUAUUUAACCCAAGUAAAUCCUACAAUACUCUACAAGAGACAAACCCCUUACCUAUGGGUUAAAACUUUGGUUGGGGUGACCUCGGAGUAUAACUUAGCCUCCGAAUGAUCUUAAUCUAGACCUAACCUGUCCAAAUUUAAAUUCAUAAAUUGACCCAAUAUAUUUGAUCAACGGAACAAGUUACCCUAGGGAUAACAGCGCAAUCCUACCCAAGAGUCCAUAUCGACAGUAGGGUUUACGACCUCGAUGUUGGAUCAGGACAUCCAAAUGGUGCAACCGCUAUUAAAGGUUCGUUUGUUCAACGAUUAAAGUC
rnacentral:rRNA from 1 species